AUCAUCGUAUAAACCUCGCCAUCGUGUUGUCUAUGAAGAAAAUCUUGAGACUUGCUCGUCGAAUCAAAAUAAGCAUGUACGCUCUCUUUUCCUACUUAAUUACCAUAUCCUUACCAUGCGAUCUCAUUACAUGAAGAGCUAUCAACUCCUUAAGACACUCGAGCUUACCUGCUAUCUACUUUAAAAGGAUUGCCCAACUCUAUUCGGUUAUUGAUUGGAUUGAAGUGCUUGAGAAUAUAUGGAGGUGGAAUAAUGACGCUCCCAAGCUGGUUUGAUAAUCUUAGAAACCUCGAGGUUCUUGACAUGAAAUUGUGCUUCGUAUAUUUCCCAAGACUAGUUUCGUUGAAAAUGGACAGGCUACGUUACUUCAGCGCAUAUAUUGAACGUGGACCGACAAACAUAAACAUGUGGAAAAAUAUUGAGUGUUUGAGAGAAAUACGGCACAAGGAUUGGAUGAAGUGCAUAUCAACUCUAACGAGUAGUUGCCAUCUUCGUGAAU
rnacentral:lncRNA from 1 species